UUUCCGUAGGUGAACCUGCGGAAGGAUCAUUACAAAUCUGGGGGGGUUGAUGGGGUGAUAGAUAUGAUUGAUAUGAUUGAUUUAUCACUCUUCCAUCCUCUGACAUUUGCACAGAGCUCUGCUCUGAUGUACACGCUUGUUUGUUUGACAAAAUAAAAUAUUCUUUAAUGUUGACAACUUUUAACAAUGGAUCUCUUGGCUCUU
rnacentral:misc_RNA from 1 species